CUGUUGCCCAGGCUGGAGCAAUAUAGUCAAGCAAUCAUAGCUCAUGUAGCCUCGACCUCGCAGGCUCAAGCAAUCCUCCCACCUUAGCCUCCCAAGUAGCUGGCACUACAGGUAUG